UACGGGGGGGGCAAGCGGUUGUUCGGAAUUACUGGGCGUAAAGGGCUCGUAGGCGGCCAACUAAGUCAGACGUGAAAUCCCUCGGCUUAACCGGGGAACUGCGUCUGAUACUGGAUGGCUUGAAUCCGGGAGAGGGAUGCGGAAUUCCAGGUGUAGCGGUGAAAUGCGUAGAUAUCUGGAGGAACACCGGUGGCGAAGGCGGGUCUCUGGGCCGAUACUGACGCUGAGGAGCGAAAGCGUGGGGAGCGAACAGG
rnacentral:rRNA from 1 species